rnacentral:rRNA from 1 species
AGAGUUUGAUCAUGGCUCAGGACAAACGCUGGCGGCGUGCGUAACACAUGCAAGUCGAACGAGGCAGGGCUUCGGUUCUGUCGAGUGGCGGACGGGUGAGUAACACGUGAGUGACCAACUCUCCAGUGGGGGAUACCCGGUGGAAACACCGGUUAAUCCCGCAUACGAUCCUUUUUGGAAGAAAGCAGCAAUGCGCUGGA